CACCAUAUCCUUGUUUAGACGCAUAGUUCCCAAAUAUACUCUCUCCCUCCCUAAAUACACCAAAUUCCCCCAUUUCUUCCAUAAUUCAAAUCAGUUUCUUUCACUUCUUCAAUUAUCAAUUCUGUUUUUCACUCUCACAUAACUCCAUAUUAUUUUUAUAGGUUCUAAGUAAAACAUUUACCGAAAACAGGAAGGUCAUCUUAUGUUGAGACGCGUAGCAAAAAAAUCAAUGAUCCAAGAAGGACGAAACAACAUCAUGAUUCUCAUGAUGAUAAAGAAACAAAGAGAAAACAGUCAUCACUAGAUAAAAAAAUUUCUCAAGUGCCCGCUACACAAGAAGAGAAAGGUUACCAAGAUUGUUCCUGGAGGCAAGGGCAAACAAAUAGUUUGGAAAAAACCUUCAAUUGAUGUAGAAGACGAUGGAGAGAUCUCAGAAGGAGCGGGAGGUUUCGCCGGAGCUUCAGAGGUGAUGUAAUGACGAGGAGAAAGGCGCCAGAUCUGAUCCACUGGAGCUCCGGCGACGAUUUCGUGGUGGCCGGCGGCGGGCGGAGGGGGAAAAGCAUCUCAAAGCUAGUCCUAAGAUUCUCGGUCAAGAAUAAAAAUUAUAAAAGUAGAGUGUUCUACUUUAAAUAUAUAAUGUAGUUAUGAUAGGUAAUUCAAAUACAACAUUUAGCUACUGAAUAUAAUUAAAAUAAUGUAUACUUACUGAAUAUAAACAUAUAUUAUAUGUUCUCUAAUGUAAAAUUUCCUUUAAGAAAAGAUAGUGGCCUAUUAAUGCAAACAUUGUAGUAC